AAAUCAGAGCUGCAACUGCCAGCCUACACCAACCACAGCCACAAUCAUGGCAACGAGGGAUCUGAUCUGCACCUGCAACCAACACCACAGCUCAUGGCAACGCUGGAUCCCUUAACCCACUGAGCAAGCCAGGGAUCGAACCCACACCUUCAUGGAUUCUAGUCAGAUUAGUUUCUGCUGAGCCACAACAGGAACUCCAUCUCUUACAAUUCUUAUAAAAAGACCAUUAACCUGGAAUUCCUGUCGUGGCUCAAUGCUAAUGAACCCAUCUGGUAUCCAUGAGGAUGCAGGUUUGAUUCCUGGCUUGACUCAGUGGGUCGGAGAUCUAGCAUUUGCGUUGCUGUGAGUUGUGGUGUAGGUUGUAAACACAGCUUGGAUCUGGCAUGGCUGUGGCCGUGGCAUAGACUGGCAGCUGUGGCUCCAAUUCUGCCACUAGCCUGGAAACUUCCAUAUACUGCAGGUGCGGCCCUAAAAAGAAAAAAUUAGACCAAUAACCUAAUGGAAAAUGAGCAAAGGAUCUGAAUAGGAAUUUCUCCAGGAAACAUAGGCAGUAUGCCCUUUGAUAUUGGCCUUAACAAUUUUUUUUGAAUAUGUCUCCUCAAGCAAGGGAAACAAAAGCAAAAUAUAAACAAAUGAGACUAGAUCAAACUAUAAAGCUUUUGCACAGUGAAGGAAACUGUCAACAAAACAAAAACACUGCCUAUUGAAUGGGAGAAGAUAUUUGCAAAUGACAUAUCCAGUAAGGGGUUAAUAUCUAAAAUAUACAAAGAACUCAUAAAACUCAACACCAAAAAUUUUAAAAAAACUCAAUUAAAAAAUGGGCAUAAGACCCAAACAGACAUUUUUUUCUGAAGAAGAUGUACAGGUGGCCAAAGGCAUGUGAAAAGAUGCUUAACAGAUUAGUGAAUCAUGAGGGAAACACAAAUCAAAACAGUGAAAUACCACCUCAUACCUGUCAGAAUGGCUGUUAUCAAAAGGAGAACAAGUAUUGAUGGAGAAAAGGGAGCCCUUGUGCACUAUUGGUGUGAACGUAAACUAGUGCAGCCACUAUGGAAAACAGUAUGAAGGAUACUCCAAAGUUUAAAAAUAGAGCUGCCAUACAAUCCAAGAGUCCACUGGGUGUAUUUCUGAAGGAAACAAAAUCACUAAUUUGAAAUAAUAUAUGUUCAUUGCAGCAUUAUUUACAAUAGCCAAGAUAUGGAAGCAACAUAGACAUUGAUAGACAAGUAGAUAAAGAAGAUGUGGUAUAUGUAUACAAUGGAAUAUUGCUCAGCCAUGAAAAGUAAUAAAAUCUUGCCAUUUGCGACAACAUGGAUGGACCUAGAAGGUAUUAUGUUAAGUAAGAUUAAUCAGACAGAGGAAAAAAAAUACUGUAUUAUUUCACUUAUGUGUAGUAUCUAAAAAACAAAGCAAAUGAAUAAGUAUAAUUAAAUAGAAAGAGGGUCAUAGAUACAUAAAACAAACUGGUGGUCGCCAGAGGAGGGGUGGGUAGGGGAUGACAGAAAUAGGUGAAGGAGAUUAAGAGGUACAAAAUGUCAUGGGAAUGAAGUGUUCAGUGUGGGGAAUAUAGUAAUAUUUUUGUAUAGCAUCAGAUGGGAAUUAGACAUAUUUGAUGAUGAUUUAAAAUGUAUAGAAGUAUCAAAUCACUGUGUUGUACACUAGGAAUUAACAUAGUGUUGUAGGUCAAUUAUACUUUUUUUUUGUCUUUCUUUGUAGCUCCAAUUGGACCCCUAGCCUGGGAACCUCCAUAUGCCGUGGGUGUGGCCCUAAAAAACAACAACAACAAAAAACCAAACUUACAGGAAAAGAGAUGAGAUUUGUGAUCAUUGGAGGUUGGGAGUUGUGGGAAGGUGAACUGAAUGAAAGUGGUCAAAAGCUACAAACUUUAAGUUAUAAGAUAAAUGAGUCCUGGGAAUGUAACAUACAACAUGAUAAAUAACACUGCUAUAUCUUAUAUAUGAAAGCUAUUAAGAGAGUAAAUUCUAAGUGUUCUCAUCACAAGGAAAAUUUUUAUUUUUCUUUUCUUUUUUUCUGUGUGAGAUGAUAGUGUUCACUAAACUUAUUGUGGUAAUAAUCAUUUUAUGAUGUUUGUAAGUCAAAUCAUUAUGCUCUAUACCUUCAACUUACACAGCGCUAUAGGUCAAUUAUAUCUCAAUAAAACUGGAAGGAAACGUAAUUUUUAAAAAGAGCUUUGAAAACUAUAAUUCUUUCAGAAUUCCUUAUUCACUUCUAGCAUAGGACAGAUAUUGUGUUAAACCAAGAAACAUAUUUAAUCAUGAUAAAGCUUUGGAUUUCCUUUGUCAUGCAUGAUCUCAUUUGAUCUUGUCACAGCUUUUUUGUUCUUCUGCUUAAAACUCACAAAGGUUAGGAGUUCCUGCUGUGGCACAUGGUGUUAGGAAUCCCAGCUGCAGGGCUCCAGUCACUGCAGAGGCUUAGGUUUGCUCCCUAGCUGGGCACAGUGGGUUAAAGGAUCUGGUGUUGCUUCAGCUGCAAUGUAGGUCACAGCUACAGCUCGCACUCAAUCCCUGGCCUGAGAACUUCCAUAUUCCACGAGUGCGGCCAUUAAAAAAAAAAAAUUUCACAAAGGUUAGUCAUGAAACCUAAAGUCAUUUUGAGCAAGGACUCUGGAGAAUACCCUGAGAAUAAUUUGCUUGAAAAUACAUGAAUUUACUCCUCAUAGAAUCAGAUUUUUUAGUCCCUGCUUGGCCUUUAAGUCUAAGUCUUUAGACUAUGGAAUGGCUUAUGCCAAGGCCUUUGAUGCUUGAUUGUAUUAAGAGUCCAUGGUCAUUCAAGAAAGAAGGUUGGAUUGAAACACUGUAUAUACCAUGCUAAGAUUUUUUAUAAUUUUUUUAUUUUUUUGUCUACGCCCACAGCAUGCAGAAGUUCCCAGCCACAGCAGUAGCAACACUGAAUCCCCAAACUCUAGGCCAUCAGGGAACCCCAAUGCUCGGAUUUUAUUUGUGCAAUCUUGAGAAAAUAACUCUCUGUUCCUUUAUUUCCUCUUCUGUAAACCAAAUAGAUUGAACAUCAUUACUGACUUCUUAAAAAAAAAAUUUCAGAGUUCCCAUCAUGGCUCAGUGGAAACGAAUCUGACUAGUAUCCAUGACAAUGCAGGUUUGAUCCCUGGCCUCACUUAGUGGGUUAAGGAUCUGGCAUUGCCAUGAGCUAUGGUGUAGGCCAUAGAUGAGGCUUGGAUCUGCCGUUGCUGUGGCUGUGGUGUAGGCUGGCAGCUACAGCUCCGAUUGGACCUCUAGCCUGGGAACCUCCAUAUGCUACAGGUGCGGCCCUGAAAAGACCAAAAAAAAAAAAAAAA
rnacentral:lncRNA from 1 species